rnacentral:tRNA from 1 species
GGAGGAGUAGCGAAGCGGUCAUAACGCGGCGGUCUUGAAAACCGUUUGGGUGCAAGCCCACAUGGGUUCGAAUCCCAUCUCCUCCGCCA